CUGAAUCCACAGGGGGACAGGCCAGGAUAGACGGUCUGGCUCUGCCUGAGAGAGGGCAGCAGGUGGUCGCUUUUAGCUUUUUUAUGGAAAAGUUUGAGCCUUUGAUAAGUAGAAAGUUGGUACACCAACUCCUUUCAGCGGGUGCACUUCAAUCCAUAACUUUGGGUUAAAACAAGUUCCCCAUCUUGACUGUGAUCACUCGUCCUUAUCUCCUUUGAGGCUGUAAAAUGAUCAACUGCUUAAGACCCACUCCAAUGAAAAUCCUGUUUUUGGUGAUGCUCUUGUGGCACUUUUCUCAUGAUGGAGGACACACAUAAAGAAAACCGACGGAGGAAGCCAACUUUCAACAAUCAGAAUUACCCCAAACAACAGCUCCUCAAUGAUGACAACCUGACAGGAUGGAAGAAAAAAACCUUCUAAAAGCAUGACUGAACAGAGUGGAGUAGACGGACCUCAGGAGACGGACGGAGCCGAUGUGGAGGACAGGACAGGAGUCCCCGGCUUCGACACAUUCCUUUUGCUUUUGACCAGAGGCAACAGUUUGAAGUUAGCAGUCCUGAACAAACAGGAUCAAAGUGGAGGGUUUCCAUGACAACGAUCUCAGAAUCAGCUCGUCUGACAGCAGCUCAUGGAGGGGCUAAUCUGGCCGACGCCACCUGGAGGAAGGGAGUAAUAGCCCGGGAGGUCCUGGGACUGGUGCCUGGGAACGCCUGCAGGACACAAACACACAUGUUUGUAAUCGGUGCUUUCUCAUUUGCAUAAUGUUGCUUAAAACGCUAUCGGACGACGGCCACUUGAAGCAGACUCGGCCGUCGGGUCAGGACCCUGCCCUGGGUCUGACGUGCUAUUAGCGCCAUUAUGUGCCUGGGAACCUGCCAUUAAAAGGCAGAGAUGCUCUGAUUGCAAACUGUGAAUGCGCGAGGAUCCUCCACUAAAGAGCCCCGCAUUGUAAAAUCCACGCCAGCCUUCGUCCUUCAUCUUCAUCCCGAGCAAAAAGGCAACAAAAGACGAGCAGACAGUAAACACGGCUCUCUGACAGCCUCUGCCUUGGUGCCCUUCAAAGGAAGUCAUUUGUCAACAGGCAGCACCUAGCACUUACUGCCACCAGCCUGCGAACCUGUGUUUGCAGCGCAGGAAUGCUCUAGAUGACUGUAAUUUGGCAGCGGCUCCGGGCCUGUCUCAGGACCCCGAGCUGCUAUAAAUCUGGAUUCAGGAAUGCGGCCAAGUCAGCUGACCUGCCUCGCCGCUUUGGCCUCCCCCCCUCUCCUCUCCCACCCUCAUCUUCUGCGGCUGCCCUCUGACCCCGCUCGGUCCAGACUCGUGGUUUCUGCCCUCAUUAUCACCCUUCUUUUACCUCUGACCCCGCUUCUUCAUCUUUCAUUUCACCUCCCCUGAUCCCUGUCUCCUCUUUUUUCUCUCCCAAAAUUCUCCUUCAGAAAGCACAUCUACAGUUUGGAAGUAAAUUUCACCUCUAACCUACCGAAAAUGUAGUGGAAUAAAUCAAAAUAUUUGACUUUGGUUGCAUAGCUUAAUUAUUGCAGAAUUUUGUUUUCAAAUGAACUCAGACAUUUACGAGCAGCUCAGAUGUUCAAGCGCUUGUGGGAGGGGAUUUUUGUGUCAUAAAGAGCAGUUUUCCCAGCAUGCAUCAAACCCGCCCAUGCAGAGGAUUUUUUUUUUUUCAAGGUAAAUUCACAUUUUUUCAAAAAAAAAUAACACAGUUGACACACAACCUAUAUGGAGACUAACAACAACAGCCCAAAACUUUUCGUCACAGAGUUUAGUAGAAAAAUGCUGCGUCAGUCAUGAAUUUAUGGAGAAAAUGUUUGGUGACUCACAGUGAGUCAGUCAAGUAUCAGGUCAAAUCUGCUGCAGAUAAAAGCAGAAACUCAAAGUGAACACAUUUAGCAUCACGUCUAUUGCACUAUUUUGGAUUUUUUUUAGAAGUGUUCAGUGGCUGUGACAUGGUUUAUUGAGGAAAAGUUAAUAAUUUACUCUUUCUGCAUGUUUAGUUUAACUCAAGGCGAAACAGAAAAAAAAAAGUUCCUAUCAAUACUCCACCAGAUUGAGGCCUUGAGUGAAUCACAACACUGCAAAAAGUGAAAAGAAAUAUUGGAAUUGAAAGUAAAAGAUACCUGAUGUGGAUACUGAUGAAUCCUUGAGGAAAUUUGGCAUCAAAACCUUAAAUUGAAAGCUACGUUUGAGUCAGCUGUGAUGGAAAACACGAGUGUAGUUUCUGGAAGUCACAUUUUUACAUCAGUUAAUAGCGCUGUCUGCUGUUGGGAAACCUGAAGGGGGAAAUUAGCAGCAGUAAUGGGGCAGUUUUUGUUGGAAUGCCCCCUUUUUUUUUUUUUUUGUUAAAGCUGCAGACUAUCUCACGCUUGUAGAGUCGGUGUCUUGGGAAACACUUCAAAAGGGAGCCAUUUGAAUCAUGCCGGCUCUGUGGGAGCUCGGGCGAGUUAAAAUGAGAGUCGAGGAGACGAAAAUAGUAUUCCUGAGCUGAUAAUGUGCUGUCGUGGUUCUAACCACUGAAAGUGAAAGCGCUGCAGCUUCGAAGCUUUUAAAUGACUUGACAAUGAGCCUGUGUGGUGUACUUAAAAGGGCUCAAGACCAGAAAAAGCUUUGUAGUGUACAGUACAGGCGGUAAUGACAAAUCAAAACUUAUAGCUAUUUCUUCAUAGCAUCAAAAACUGCAAUAAAAUAUGGAUUUUUUUGCCCAAUUUCAUAAUCUAGAAUGAUUUCUCCACACUAUUUGUUUUAGUUUCACAUAUUUUGUGUUUUUAAGCAGAAUGACUCAUACUCUCGCUGUCAAUUUAAAGGUGUGAACUAAAGAAAAGUGCAAACAGCUAUUCGGGUCCCAGUUUGAGCAUCUUUUAUUCUAUAUCAAUCUGUGUUUUCCAUAUUUUUUAAAAAUUAAAGUGGGUUCGUUUUGCGUCUUUUCUUUUAAACCAUUCAUAAAGAAAAAUCAUCAAAAUUAAUUCAAAAACCUAAAACCACAAAUGUGUAAAACGUUCUUUUUGAGCCAGCGGAGUGACCACGGCAGCAGAGUGCUGGCCUCAGGAGGUGUGAAAGCCACAACUUCCUGCUCUUCUUGGAAACUUUACUAAAGUUGCUUAUAGAUGCAAAAGUGCAAAGAUGCUUUUAAAAAAAAGAGUCAAAAAUAUUUUCAUCCAGACAAUCGGAAAACAGUAAUUUACAGCAGCAAAUUACCUGCUUAUUUAUGAAAAAAGUACUGUAUGUGCAUCUUAUGAAUGAUUUCAUACAAAUGUUUUUUUUUUUUUUUUUUUAUAGACGUGAUUCCCUAAUUGAGACGAUGCAACAGAUAUUUAUUUUCUACCAAACUUCUUCUUUUGUUUGCCUGUGUCCUUGAUGGGACACGCACUUUCUUACAGUAGAUGCACACGUUUCACUUCUACUUUUUGGCUCUUUAUUUUAUGAUCCAUCGUCUGACCAACAGUCAUAAGUGGAAAACAGUGCAGCCUGACGAUGUUUUGAAUCCCACACAGGGGACAGAAAUGACUGGAUGAUCGACAGAAAGGGUCUGUGUAACCUAAAUUUAAAAGUCUGCAACUUCAAUUUAAAACUGCUUUAAGACGAUCAAAAUGUUACUUACAAUAUUUCUACAAAAGUAAAUCUGCAUGUGCAAUCACAGCUACAUUUAGACCUGAUCUUGAGAAAGAGCUAAAUAUUUUUACUUUUCUCAAGCUUCUAAUGCUGAUGAUGCUCAGGUAAAACACAGUAAGCAGUCACUUAGUAAACAAUAUUUAAGACAGCCUCUAGGUAAGAUGUUACUAAAAGUCAAGUCCCAUUUUUGGGCAGAAGUAAAAACAAAGAGUGGGCGGGUGUGAAAAGAGCACAGAAUGGAAACCAAGCAGAGAGAUGGAAGUUAGAGUCGUAAACAUGCAAAAAAAAGAAAGAAAAAACAGAUUAAAAUAAGAAAAUGUGUUAAAAAUGAGAAGAUUUUUGGAUUAAUGUAAAUAUUUUCUUUAGUUAAUAUAAAGUGACAAAGAAACAAAAAGAUAAAAAAAAGUUAAGUUUAAAAAUAAAACAAAAUAGAGAAAACUGUUUUACAAAAAUCAAUUAUUCCGUUUUUUUCAAGACUUUAAAGUUGGAUUCUAACUUUCUCUAUUACUAGAUUAAUUGGGAAAUUAGAAAAAAAUAGAAAACACAAACUGUGAUCAAGUUUUAACUUUUAUACCUUUAAAAAAUAUUAAAACAAAAGUCUAAAACUGCAAAAAAGAGCUUUUUGAUCAGCUCUAGUCAGACAGAGAUAGAAAGGUGUGUGAGCCCAUGACAUCAUCAGUCUUACCUGGAUCAGCUGACAAAUGAUAGAUGUGAAGUAAGCUCCUGCAUGUGUUAUGUUUGAGGUGGGAAGGACACGGCAGAUGAGACGCAGCGGCAGCAGCAGCGGCGGGCGGCCAGGUGUUAGGUGUGUGACUGUGUGUGAGGUAGAAGCAGGUGGCUCAGUCUGUCAUUAUCAGCUGAGUCACUGUGUUCGUGUCGGAUGUGGACGCACAAAGUCUGAACAGGGAGGCGAGGAGCAUGUGUUUGAUGGAGGAGGGGGAUUUCCAGACGGAGCAGGCAGGAGAUGGCCUCAGGUCUUUUCUGCUUAAUACCUAAUCGCAGCCGCACAAUACUUUCAUUGUUCUCCGCUCUGUUUUCUAUUGUUUUUUUCUCAGCCUCUUCAUUCAUGUAUGAAAAAAAAUCUACGUGUAAUGUUUUAGCCGUCUCGUUUGGAGCAGCUGGGAGAAAAAUCUAAAUUUAAAGACCCACUCUGAUGAAAAUUGUGCUUUUAACAUGCAUUUUUCUGCCAAUAAAAGUGAUAUAAUAUAGAAAAGUAAGCUUAAAACUGCAUUUCUGAAUAUUUCUGUCUUCAAAUCAUUCUGAAUCUGGAGAAAACAAAAAAGAAUGCUUCAUUCUGAUGCAUCCACUUGCAGACAAACAGAUCCAUGAUCCAUCUUUAUUUUCCUCAUCUGAGCUGAAAUCUGGAUCAAUACUGUACAAUUGGAUAGUUCUAAUAUUUUGUUGUGCCAGUUGGGGUUGUGAGGAGGUAUAAGCUAGUGGGAGAGCGUGUAACGGUCCCGCUCACAACUCGAAGGUGAACUAUGUUCUAGAAAACAACACAGAUUUUUUAAUUUUCACUUUAGGCCUGAAAGAUGAAAUUCUAUACUCAAUUCUUUCACUUUUCUUCAAAGAAACAGAACUAAAAAUCAUAGAGAAUAAAGUUUUUGUUUAUUUUAGUUUUCCCGAAACAGUAAAAACCCUCCUUGGUUCCUGCAUUCUUCGUCUUUCCUUUCUAUUAUUUCCUUUUCUAUCAUUAAGAUGAUCUUAAAUUAAGAUUAGUGUAAUCUGUAGACAUAAUAAGCAGGUGUAAAUGAGGCUCUCUGCAAAAAUGUUUAUGCUACAUGCAUAAACGGUGGCACGGAUCAUGUUUAUGAAGCUACUUAUUAUAUUCCUCCAGAACUCAACUUGAUAUCAAACCUAGACAGUUUUAAACUAAAAAAAUACAUUUUUAGAAUGGCUUUUAAUACUCGCAUGUUGGUGCCAUCUUUUUUUCUUAUUUGUUUUUAUUUGUUUUUAUUUAAUUAUAACUUUUUUUAAAAUGUGCUCAUAUUUAAAAUGUUCUUUUUAGCACUUUAUCACCCGGAUGUAAUUGAAAAGUGCUACACAAAUAAAAUUGUAUUCACACUUUUCCAAAAUGACAUUUUUCAUCUAAAUUUGUCGUAUAUGUUUCACAGAGGAGUAACAGAUUUGUUGCACUGAUAUAAUUUGUUCACUGAAACACAGUUAAGACAUGAAAAAGUAAAAAAAACUGCAGUACCAGUUACAGCCACUAGAGGCAAGCUACAAAACAGCUUCUGUUUAGCUUUUGUAGUUUUAUGAGCAAAAAUUACUCUUUAUUUUAUUAGCGUGUUGGUAAA